AAUAUUAAGAUAAUUAUUAAGCUAAUUAUCAAGAUAAAUAUUAAGAUAAAAACUAUUAAAAAAAUUAUCAUGAUGAAUAUAUUUGACUAUAUUUGAUGAUAGAUAAUCAUAUUUUUUCUUUAAUAAUGAAUACAUUUGACUACAUUUGACUAUAUUUGACAGCAAACAUUAGAAAAAAGAAUUGAUUCCAGAUUAAGAGAGUUGAUGAAGUAAAAAAGCACAACAUGCAAUUUCAAUAUAUGGUAGGAGAGAAUAGAAUGGAAUAGAAAAGAAAAUAGGGACUUCAGUUAUAACAUUAUUCUAUCA
rnacentral:lncRNA from 1 species